UUCGCCAGGGAACAACGAGCCCCAGCUUAAAACCCAAAGGACUUGGCGGUGCUUUAGACCCCCCUAGAGGAGCCUGUUCUAGAACCGAUACUCCCCGUUAAACCUCACCCCCUCUUGUUUACCCCGCCUAUAUACCGCCGUCGUCAGCUUACCCCGUGAGGGCCCAACAGUAAGCAGAAUUGGCAUAGCCCAAAACGUCAGGUCGAGGUGUAGCGCACGAGGAGGGAAGAAAUGGGCUACAUUUGCUGCACCAGCAAACACGGACACUGUACUGAAAAAGCAUUCGAAGGAGGAUUUAGCAGUAAGGGGCGAAUAGAGAGCCCCCCUGAAAACGGCCCUGAAGCGCGCACACACCGCCCGUCACUCUCCCCAACUGCCCUGAAAUAUAACUAAUAAAUGAUACCCGAAUAAGGGGAGGCAAGUCGUAACAUGGUAAGUGUACCGGAAGGUGCACUUGGAAAAACC
rnacentral:rRNA from 1 species